CUGACUGGGAGGUCCUCACGGGCAGACCCACGGGAGGUGAGGAUUAGUCUGCUCUGGAGCGGUAUUGUGUGGCCGACCGACCACUCGAGAGGGUCAGGCGGACCCAGUGAUACCAGCCAGGUUGCUUCCAGCUCUGUCACAGUGGAACUCCUCAGUCACGGGGACAGCCGCAGACUCACUGGAUUCUCUCCAUGCUAAAUCCCAUUCUGGAAAAGCCAGUCCCCCAGAGAAGUUUUAUUUAAGAAUGUCAUUUCAGAGCACGGCGCCUUGUGGAUGCCAAUCGGAUCUCUUUAUUAUUCAAGCUAAAGCCAAGCAAAUUUCUAAAAUUCUACAAUCUGUGGUAAAUUGGACCAGCUUUGAAGUCAGAGAGAAAUCUCACCUAGUCACCUGAGAAGCCAUGGCCGAGUUUACAGUCUCCAGACAGAGACCCAGGCAAGGCCGCUGGCCUGGGCUCCCUCUGUGAAGGUCUCAGUGUGGAACCCACGUGGCUCCUUCCAGAUUCGGCGACACAGACACAGAUGCCACCAUCAGGGCUGGGGAAUGUCCCUCUACGUGGGACUCAAACCCACAGCCCAUCCCCAUCUCUCUGCCUGCAGUGCACUGUGAAUUGAUAUUUUUUAUAAAACCUGUAAUUAUCUUGCAACUAGCAUAAUUACGUUGCAUUAUGAUUUAAAUGUAAAACUCAAAACACACUGCGGUUCCCUAA